rnacentral:lncRNA from 1 species
UCUACUUCUACUAGGUAAGGUGAGUAUCCCCUUUAUUUUUUCUAGUUCAUUUUUUACUUUAUACUUUUUUAUUUUUCCCCCAUUUUUGUUAUACAAGGUCAAUGUUUACUUUAUAAUGUUUCAGCUAAUUGAAUUGUACAAUCUCCAAGGUUGAACUCUACUUCCUUUUUUUGUUGCAGUAACUAUAUCAACCCUUUUUUCUUAAAUGAAUACUUUGUUUGAGGAAGUUAAUUAGUUAACUUUGGUUUCUGAAUUUUCUUGCUUGUAGUCAACAGGAAAUUAUUCAUUUAAUUGAUGAUAUUAAUUAAUUGAAAUCAUGAGAACCACUUCUUUUUGAUUUUCUUAUCCAUAUGAAAAUGAAAUGGCUCAUCAUUUAAUAUACUAUUGACCGAUACUCGAUCCAUUUUGCUUUGUACCUUAAAAAUGGUUUCUAUUGUCAAGUAAAUUUGCUUGAUGGCUUUCUCUAUUACGUUCUGUGAUUACGAGUAAUUACAAGGUAAAUUAUUUACGAUAUAGAUGGAGAUUAAUUCCUGAUUAACAUCUAUGACAGUGCCUGUAUGAAGAAUUAAGAAGGAAGGUUCAAGGUAGGUGUGGGGGAAAGUAAGGUGUAAUGGCCUCUGAGAAUGACUAUUUUCACCUCUCUGGACCCUUGCAUCUAACUUCUGUUAAUUGGUAAGAUCUAACAUUUUUAUUUUGUAUGUACAGAUUCAAACUUACAUAUAUAUAAUCAUAAACUUGUUUACAUCAAG